UCAGAUACCCAUGGACAAUGCCACUCCUCACUUGGUAAAUGACAAGAGUGAAGCUCACUUCAGUUGACUGGACAGUGUCUCCCAUCACUUGCUCGCACAACUGGAGAGAUUGUUUCCAUCUGUGCCGCAACAUCCAACUUCUAGCACUCUACAGAUGGUCUACACUCAGAGGUGGGGGGAGAGAGAGUCCGAAAGGAUUUGUCAGGAGCAUCCUAGUCAAAACCAAGGCAGGCUCAGUGUAGGUAGACUCCUGUUUAGAACCAGAGGCAGAGGGAAGGGCUCUGAAUGUUCUCACGUAAAGGCCCACGUGGCUCCUUUUAAUCUGAUGCUCUGAUAACUGUCCAGCCCAACUCAGAGUCCAGGGCUUUAUCCUGGCUGUUCUGGUUCAUGAGUCUGGCUCGUUUCCAGGUUGCUGCUGACCUUGUUAGAUAUCACAUGAGAUUACUGAUAACCACAGAAACAACUCUGUGUACUGUGAUGGUAUCUCGGAGGACCUAGCAUGUCUGUCACACUCUUGCAGACAGUUCUAAUCUAGGCAUACCUCACUCACAAACGUGAGUGAAAGUGUUUAUCUCUCCCACUAGGGAGGAAACAGCUAAGGGCCUUAAUGCUGCCAAUUGACUUUUCUCUUCCCUAUAUUUGGAACAUAGCUGGGGACCAAUAAUUUCUCAUUUCAUUAAGAAAAGGAGGGAUGAGUUGGCUUGGUGGUGUGGACCUGUAAUUUUAGCACUCUGGAGGCUGGGGCAGGAAGAUUGACAUUUUCAGAUCACCUUGGGUUACAAAGCAAGCUCACACAUCUGGAUUGUAUAGCCACCCCGAAUCCUCGCACAUUAAAUAAAAACAAGCAUGAAUAA
rnacentral:lncRNA from 1 species